rnacentral:rRNA from 1 species
UACGUAGGCAGCAAGCGUUGUUCGGAAUUACUGGGCGUAAAGAGUGCGUAGGCGGUGCUCUAAGUCUGUCGUGAAAUCUCCCGGCUCAACUGGGAGGGUGCGGCGGAAACUGGAGUGCUCGAGUGUGGGAGAGGUAAGCGGAAUUCCUGGUGUAGCGGUGAAAUGCGUAGAUAUCAGGAGGAACACCUGUGGUGUAGACAGCUUACUGGACCACGACUGACGCUGAGGCACGAAAGCGUGGGUAGCAAACAGG